rnacentral:rRNA from 1 species
AGUGAACGCUGGCGGUAGGCCUAACACAUGCAAGUCGAACGGCAGCACAGUAAGAGCUUGCUCUUACGGGUGGCGAGUGGCGGACGGGUGAGGAAUACAUCGGAAUCUACUUUUUCGUGGGGGAUAACGUAGGGAAACUUACGCUAAUACCGCAUACGACCUACGGGUGAAAGCAGGGGAUCUUCGGACCUUGCGCGAUUGAAUGAGCCGAUGUCGGAUUAGCUAGUUGGCGGGGUAAAGGCCCACCAAGGCGACGAUCCGUAGCUGGUCUGAGAGGAUGAUCAGCCACACUGGAACUGAGACACGGUCCAGACUCCUACGGGAGGCAGCAGUGGGGAAUAUUGGACAAUGGGCGCAAGCCUGAUCCAGCCAUACCGCGUGGGUGAAGAAGGCCUUCGGGUUGUAAAGCCCUUUUGUCGGGCAAGAAAAGCAGCAGGUUAAUACCCCGCUGUUCUGACGGUACCCAAAGAAUAAGCACCGGCUAACUUCGUG